ensembl:lncRNA
GGAGAGCAGAGUGGAGAGCAGAGUGGAGAGCAGAGUGGUGAGCAGAGUGGAGAGCAGAGUGGUGAGCAGAGUGGUGAGCAGAGUGGUGAGCAGAGUGAUGAGCAGAGUGGAGAGCAGAGUGGUGAGCAGAGUGGAGAGCAGAGUGGAGAGCAGAGUGGAGAGCAGAGUGAGUGGAGCAGAGUGAGCAGAGUGGAGAGCAGAGUGGUGAGCAGAGUGGAGAGCAGAGUGAUGAGCAGAGUGGAGAGCAGAGUGGAGAGCAGAG